rnacentral:rRNA from 2 species
GAGUAACACGUGGGCAACCUGCCUGUAAGACUGGGAUAACUUCGGGAAACCGAAGCUAAUACCGGAUAGGAUCUUCUCCUUCAUGGGAGAUGAUUGAAAGAUGGUUUCGGCUAUCACUUACAGAUGGGCCCGCGGUGCAUUAGCUAGUUGGUGAGGUAACGGCUCACCAAGGCAACGAUGCAUAGCCGACCUGAGAGGGUGAUCGGCCACACUGGGACUGAGACACGGCCCAGACUCCUACGGGAGGCAGCAGUAGGGAAUCUUCCGCAAUGGACGAAAGUCUGACGGAGCAACGCCGCGUGAGUGAUGAAGGCUUUCGGGUCGUAAAACUCUGUUGUUAGGGAAGAACAAGUACGAGAGUAACUGCUCGUACCUUGACGGUACCUAACCAGAAAGCCACGGCUAACUACGUGCCAGCAGCCGCGGUAAUACGUAGGUGGCAAGCGUUAUCCGGAAUUAUUGGGCGUAAAGCGCGCGCAGGCGGUUUCUUAAGUCUGAUGUGAAAGCCCACGGCUCAACCGUGGAGGGUCAUUGGAAACUGGGGAACUUG